UACGAAGGGGGCUAGCGUUGUCCGGAAUCAUUGGGCGUAAAGCGCGUGUAGGCGGCAGGCCAAGUCUGCGGUGAAAGCGCCCGGCUCAACUGGGCGAGGUCCGUGGAAACUGGUCAGCUGGAGGACGGUAGAGGCGAGUGGAAUUCCCGGUGUAGUGGUGAAAUGCGUCGAGAUCGGGAGGAACACCAGUGCGAAGGCGGCUCGCUGGGCCGUCCUGACGCUGAGACGCG
rnacentral:rRNA from 1 species